UACGGAGGGGGCAAGCGUUGUUCGGAGUCACUGGGCGUAAAGGGCGCGUAGGCGGUGCAUAAAGUCAGGCGUGGAAGCCCCGGGCUUAACCUGGGAAUUGCGCUUGAUACUGUGCGGCUAGAGUGCAGAAGGGGCAACUGGAAUUCUCGGUGUAGCGGUGAAAUGCGUAGAGAUCGGGAGGAACACCAGCGGCGAAGGCGGCCCCCUGGGCCGCUCCUGACGCUGAGACGCGAAGGCCAGGGUAGCGAACGGG
rnacentral:rRNA from 1 species